rnacentral:pre_miRNA from 7 species
AGUCCUUCUUCAUGUGACUCGUGGACUUCCCUUUGUCAUCCUAUGCCUGAGAAUAUAUGAAGGAGGCUGGGAAGGCAAAGGGACGUUCAAUUGUCAUCACUGGC